rnacentral:rRNA from 1 species
CCUACGGGUGGCAGCAGUGAGGAAUAUUGGUCAAUGGACGAGAGUCUGAACCAGCCAAGUAGCGUGAAGGAUGAAUGCCCUAUGGGUUGUAAACUUCUUUUAUAUGGGAAUAAAAUGUUCCACGUGUGGGAUUUUGUAUGUACCAUAAGAAUAAGGAUCGGCUAACUCCGUGCCAGCAGCCGCGGUAAUACGGAGGAUCCGAGCGUUAUCCGGAUUUAUUGGGUUUAAAGGGAGCGUAGGUGGGUUGUUAAGUCAGUUGUGAAAGUUUGCGGCUCAACCGUAAAAUUGCAGUUGAAACUGGCAGUCUUGAGUACAGUAGAGGUGGGCGGAAUUCGUGGUGUAGCGGUGAAAUGCUUAGAUAUCACGAAGAACUCCGAUUGCGAAGGCAGUUCACUGGACUGCAACUGACACUGAGGCUCGAAAGUGUGGGUAUCAAACAGGAUUAGAUACCCUUGUAGUC